AUUGAACGCUGGCGGCAGGCCUAACACAUGCAAGUCGAACGAGUGGCGGACGGGUGAGUAAUGUCUGGGAAACUGCCUGAUGGAGGGGGAUAACUACUGGAAACGGUAGCUAAUACCGCAUACCAUCAGAUGUGCCCAGAUGGGAUUAGCUAGUUGGUGGGGUAACGGCUCACCAAGGCGCAGAUCCCUAGCUGGUCUGAGAGGAUGACCACCAAAACGGGAACGGUGCCACGGUCCAGACUCCUACGGGAGGCAGCAGUGGGGAAUAUUGCACAAUGGGCGCAAGCCUGAUGCAGCCACGCCGCGUGUAUGAAGAAGGCCUUCGGGUUGUAAAGUACUUUCAGCGGGGAGGCGUUACCCGCAGAAGAAGCACCGGCUAACUCCGUGCCAGCAGCCGCGGUAAUUC
rnacentral:rRNA from 1 species